GACGAACCGUCCUAACGUUAUUCGGAAUCACUGGGCUUAAAGGGCGCGUAGGCGGACGAGCAAGUCCGGAGUGAAAUCCUCCGGCUUAACCGGAGAAGUGCUUUGGAUACUGCUCGUCUUGAGGGAGGUAGGGGCAUGUGGAACUUCUGGUGGAGCGGUGAAAUGCGUUGAUAUCAGAAGGAACACCGAUGGCGAAGGCAAUCCCCUGGGCCUGCACUGACGCUCAUGCACGAAAGCGUGGGGAGCAAACAGG
rnacentral:rRNA from 1 species